rnacentral:rRNA from 1 species
UACGUAGGGGGCAAGCGUUAUCCGGAUUUACUGGGUGUAAAGGGGGCGCAGACGGCGAUGCAAGCCAGGAGUGAAAGCCCGGGGCCCAACCCCGGGACUGCUCUGGAAACUGUUAAGCUGGAGUGCGGGAGGGGCAGGCGGAAUUCCUGGUGUAGCGGUGAAAUGCGUAGAUAUCAGGAGGAACACCGGCGGCGAAGGCGGCCUGCUGGACCGUGACUGACGUUGAGGCUCGAAAGCGUGGGGAGCAAACAGG